UGUCCCCACCAAUGUCAACUAAAUUAUGUCCCCACCAAAGUCAACUAAAUUAUGUCCCCACCAAUGUCAACUAAAUUAUGUCCCCACCAAUGUCAAAAUCAAACUUACGCCAUUGGCUGUGAAUAUGGACAAGUAGAGUGAUAUACAGAGUGACAUGUACCAGUGCUGUUUAAUUAAAUACGAUUUACUAGUGACUUUAUUACAUUCUGACCACCUUCCUAAUAUUGUGCUGGUCCUCCUAGCUAUCACAAUUUAGCCCUUGUCAAACUUGCUCAAAUCCUUACGCUUGCCAUUUUUUCCUACUUCCAACACAUUCAUUUUGAGGACAAAAUGUUCAGGUGCUGCCUAAUAUAUCCUAUUUACAAACAGGUGCCGUGAUGAAGACAUACAGUAAUCAGUGUUAUUCACUUCACCUGACAGUGGUCAUAAUGUUAUGCCUGAUCGGUGUAUAAUAAAACCAUAUACAAACCAUACAUGAACCAUAUUUAAAUGGUCACUUUAUUAGGAACAACUGUAGACCAGUUCUCUCUAAAAAAUCAAGACAGAUGAAGAUCUAACCUUCAACUGUCUGGCUGAGUCUGUGUGCAUGAUAACCUCAGUUUCCUGUUCUUGGCUGACAGGAGAAGAACCUGACGUGUCUUCUGCUGUAGCUCAUCCAUGUCAAGGUUUGAUAAAGAGUGGUGAGUUACUAUAUGCUAUCUGAGAGCUCGAACCAGUCUGGCCAUUUUCCUCUGACCCAUCUUAUCAACAAGGCAUUUCCACCCACAGAACUGUCUCUCAGUCAGUGUUUAUUUGCUUUUUUGCAUCAUUGUAUGUAAACUCUACGGUGUUGUGUGUGAAAAUCCCAGGAGAUCAGCCGUUUCUAUAAAAUACAAACCAAGCCAAUUGAGGUUUCCGUGCCACAGUUAAGUCACACAGACCACACUUUAUCUUUAUUAUGAUGUUUGAUGUGAACAUUAACUGAGGCUCUUGACUUGUACCUGCAUUAUGCUUGUGCAACAUGAAUGGCUGAUUAGAUAAGCACAUGAAUGUGCAGGUGUAUAUUCAAUAUUUCAUAUUUUUUCCGUCAGAUUUUCUUUUUUACUUUACUGCUUUACAUUGCAAUAUUUACUAUAACCAUAUCUAUGUCUCUCUUUUCCCAGAAGCCUCUUGUCCUUUUCAAUCUGGUGAAAACAUUUCGACCUGCAGCCUCAGGCCUUGGAGGGCAGUUCUGGGAAAAAGUAUAUUGUGAAUGAUGACUUCUGUCAUGAGCAAUCACUCCAGCAAACAACAGUACAACCGGGACUUCAGGAAUUGCUAAGGACAUGUCUGCCCUGCUGGCAAUAAUGCAGCUCUCUGCUCUGUCUACACUUUCUCCUUAAGGAUUAAAAAACACAGAGCUCACACCGCUCCUCUCAUAGAGACCUCUGGGAGUCUCGGACAGCCGGGGUGAUCAGACAUGUGGCAUGUGUCAUCGGGCAUCAAGGCAAGAUACACCCUGAACGGAGUGCCA